rnacentral:rRNA from 1 species
CUAAUUGCGCGUUGCCAUGUGACUGCAGGACACAUGAACAUUGACAAUUCGAACGCACAUUGCGGCCCUAGGACUUGUUCCUGGGCCACACCUGACUGAGGGUCGG